UAGGGAAUUUUCGGCAAUGGGGGAAACCCUGACCGAGCAACGCCGCGUGAAGGAUGAAGGUCUUCGGAUUUUAAACUUCUGUUGUAAGGGAAGAACGAUAGAUAUAGGGAAUGAUAUUUAUGUGACGGUACCUUACUAGAAAGCCACGGCUAACUACGUGCCAGCAGCCGCGGUAAUACGUAGGUGGCGAGCGUUAUCCGGAAUUAUUGGGCGUAAAGAGUGAGCAGGCGGUCACUUAAGUCUGUAGUCAAAAGCAGUUGCUCAACAACUGUUCGCUAUGGAAACUGGGUGACUAGAGUGCAGGAGAGGUUAGCGGAAUUCCAUGUGUAGCGGUGAAAUGCGUAGAUAUAUGGAGGAACACCAGUGGCGAAGGCGGCUAACUGGCCUGUUACUGACGCUCAGUCACGAAAGCGUGGGGAGCAAAUAGG
rnacentral:rRNA from 1 species